CUCUGUCAUGCUUAUCUACCCUAGUCACAAAGACCUGUUUAACUUGCUGUGAAGUUGUGAUGGACCAAAUUAGAAAGCUUGCACAAAACUGUUUAUAGCUGUGUCUGUCAGUGCUAGUAAAAAAAAAAAUAGGCAGGGAAAUAAUAUUUACAUAGACCAGAGCCCUCUGUUUUACUGUUGCUACCUCCUUGCCAAUAUUCAGCUGCAGGAAAGGAGAUUAUUACUCAAAGAAAGGAGAGGAAAAUGCAGUAGAAGAAGCUGGCCUAAAUUGCCUCUCUCGUCAACUUAAUACUUCCAUCGGACAAGAAAAGGUGUAAUUCCACAAGAUAUCUGUAAUGGAAUUGUCAAUCAAAAAUGAGCUGGAGGAAAAUGCUGUCUCAGAGUAUAAAAUGGCUUGGGCAGACUCUCAACACUGUAAUCCUCGGACCCAGUGGCAUCUGCAAAGCUGCUGCAGCAGCUGGAUCCAAAGCCUGCCAAUGGAUCAGUUGCCAUCACUAGUAAAAUGCCAUCCAUAGGCUGAUAUCUGGAUCCUCAAGAAAGUAAAGGAAGAGGAACAAAAUGCGAAAGGCAAGUAGCAGUGAGAUAGGAGGAAUUGUGUUCAGCUUCAAAUUAAAUCUUUCUGCUUAAUUUCAUGGUUUUUCAUGUGAAAUUGUUUCUUUACAUAGUAAGCUUUGACCCACUUUUACUGCAUUCCUCCAAAUCCAUGAUAUACUUCUAAUAUGAUUCAAGAACAUUUGAUCACAGGGCAGUUAAGUAGACACUGUAAUGUGCAUGUGAUUGAAGAAAUGUGCAGUAUUUGUGAGUUGGUUCUUCUUUUCAUGCUAGGGCUUUUCUUAAAUUAGGGUGAUGUCGUCAAAAAAUAAGAAAAAUAAGAAGGCUAUGAUAAUGUCCUAAAACAAGCUUUGGGUGCAUCAGUCUUCCAGAAAAGCAGACUACAUACUUUAGAAGAUUUAAAAUCUUUCCAUAGAUUUUGUGGACUCUGAGCUUCAUGAGCAUGUGUAUUAUUAUUAUGUUGUGUGGAGAACUUGCUGUCAUGCAGUCACUGUGCAAACAAUCUUUGAACAGCAAACACACACUCUUACUAAAUUUAUGAAUGAUCCUAUAAGGUGGCCAUUUAUUUAAAAUGUAAUGACUGUAAAUAUGUUUUGUAAGCAGGAUUCCUUUCUUCAUAGCAUGAUUUUAUAAUUAUACACACACAUGAUGUAUUGGAAAUUCACAGGUAAUUAGUAAUAAAAGACAAUCACGGUGUGCUGUA